CCUACGGGAGGCUGCAGUGAGGAAUAUUGGUCAAUGGACGAGAGUCUGAACCAGCCAAGUAGCGUGAAGGAUGACUGCCCUAUGGGUUGUAAACUUCUUUUAUAAAGGAAUAAAACGAGGCACGUGUGCCUUUUUGCAUGUACUUUAUGAAUAAGGAUCGGCUAACUCCGUGCCAGCAGCCGCGGUAAUACGGAGGAUCCGAGCGUUAUCCGGAUUUAUUGGGGUUAAAGGGAGCGUAGAUGGUUUGUUAAGUCAGUUGUGAAAGUGUUCGGCUCAACCGUAAAAUUGCAUUUGAUACUGGCAGUCUUGAGUACAUUUGAGGUUGGCGGAAUUCGUGGUGUAGCGGUGAAAUGCUUAGAUAUCUCGAGGAACCUCGAUUGCGAAGGCAUCUUACUAAACUGUGCCUGACAUUGAUGCUCGAAAGUGUGGGUAUCAAACAGGAUUAGAUACCCCUGUAGUC
rnacentral:rRNA from 1 species